rnacentral:lncRNA from 1 species
AAACUGCUUCAUACUUGUCCCCAGAUCUUCAAUUACUCACUGGAAAAUAAAACAAACACACAAAAAACUACACAAACCCUAAAUACCCUUUUCUUGAAAUAAGCUACAGAAGCAAGUCAGCAACUGAGCUUAGCAAAAAACUGAAGCAGAUCUUGAAACCCUUAAAGAAAGUGGGGGUAUGAGUUAAAAACUAGGUAGAGAGCACAGUAAAGAAGCAGCUUUUUGGCUACUUCAAGAUCUCUGUAAGAGCUCAAGUUGGCUAUUUCAGUAGAUCUCUUUCUCUCUCUUUCUCUCAGCUGUACUUUUUUCCCUUUUUCUUUUCUUUUUCUUUUUCACUGAUUUUCUUUUUCACAUAUUGAAAGCUACAGAAGAAAGGAAAGACCAAAAAAGAAAGAGGGGACCCCAAGAAUUUAAGGAAGCUAGAAGUGAAAGAUUGUGU